GAAAGCGAGAAAGCGUUGCCGCAGGCAACGACCCGAAGGGCGAAGCGCGCAGCGCUGAGUCAUCCUUCCCCCACCACCA
rnacentral:sRNA from 3 species